UAUAUAUAUAUAUAUAUAUAUAUAUAAAACAGUAUAAAAAAAUGUUUACAAAUAUCUUAACUUGCAACGUGUGACAGGCUACACAUCAGUGUUGUCCAUGUUUAAUCGAGAAAUGCAUUCAGAACAUUUUAUGAAGUAUUGGCAGGCUGUACCUGACGUCUUACUUUCUUGCAACGAAAUCAAAAGAACUUCAACUACAAACCAAUUAAAUUAAUUUUUAUAGCAGCAUUUUCUUUGAAGAAUUUUCCCUUUAUUUUAUUUACUAAUCA
rnacentral:lncRNA from 1 species